rnacentral:rRNA from 1 species
GUCGAACGCUGGCGGCGUGCCUAAUACAUGCAAGUAGGACGCAUUUGCGAACGGGUGAGUAACGCGUAGGUAACUACCUAUCAGAGGGGGAUAACUCUUGGAAACGAUAGCUAAUACCGCAUACUAUUAGAUGGACCUGCGUUUUAUUAGCUAGUAGGUAGGGUAAUGGCCUAACUAGGCAACGAAGCAUUGCCGAGCUGAGAGGGUGUUGGGCCCCGAUGGGACUGAGACACGGCGCCGACUCCUACGGGAGGCAGGAGUAGGGAAGCUUUGGAAAUGGGGGGAACCGUGACCGAGCAAAGCGGCGUGAGUGAAGAAAGUUUUCGGAUCGUAAAGCUAUGUUGUUAAGGAAGCGGUACUUAACCAGAAAGGGACGGCUAACUACGUGCCAGCAGCCGCGGUAAUAC